AACGAACGCUGGCGGCAUGCCUAACACAUGCAAGUCGAACGAGACCUUCGGGUCUAGUGGCGCACGGGUGCGUAACGCGUGGGAACCUGCCUUUAGGUUCGGAAUAACUCAGAGAAAUUUGAGCUAAUACCGGAUAAUGUCUUCGGACCAAAGAUUUAUCGCCUUUAGAUGGGCCCGCGUUGGAUUAGCUAGUUGGUGGGGUAAAGGCCUACCAAGGCGACGAUCCAUAGCUGGUCUGAGAGGAUGAUCAGCCACACUGGGACUGAGACACGGCCCAGACUCCUACGGGAGGCAGCAGUGGGGAAUCUUAGACAAUGGGCGCAAGCCUGAUCUAGCCAUGCCGCGUGAGCGAUGAAGGCCUUAGGGUUGUAAAGCUCUUUCAGAUGGGAAGAUAAUGACGGUACCAUCAGAAGAAGCCCCGGCUAACUCCGUGCCAGCAGCCGCGGUAAUGUGACUACUG
rnacentral:rRNA from 1 species